UACGUAGGGUGCGAGCGUUGUCCGGAAUUAUUGGGCGUAAAGAGCUUGUAGGCGGUUUGUCGCGUCUGCCGUGAAAUUUCGAGGCUCAACCUCGAACUUGCGGUGGGUACGGGCAGACUAGAGUGUGGUAGGGGAGACUGGAAUUCCUGGUGUAGCGGUGAAAUGCGCAGAUAUCAGGAGGAACACCGAUGGCGAAGGCACGUCGCUGGCACUGACUGACGUGAGACGAAAGCAUGGGGAGCGAACAGG
rnacentral:rRNA from 1 species